rnacentral:rRNA from 2 species
GGGUUGUGAGGUUAAGCGACUAAGCGUACACGGUGGAUGCCCUGGCAGUCAGAGGCGAUGAAGGACGUGCUAAUCUGCGAUAAGCGCCGGUAAGGUGAUAUGAACCGUUAUAACCGGCGAUUUCCGAAUGGGGAAACCCAGUGUGACUCGUCACACUAUCAUUAACUGAAUCCAUAGGUUAAUGAGGCGAACC